UUACCUACGGGUGGCAGCAGUGGGGAAUUUUGGACAAUGGGCGAAAGCCUGAUCCAGCAAUGCCGCGUGUGUGAAGAAGGCCUUCGGGUUGUAAAGCACUUUUGUCCGGAAAGAAAUCCUCUGGGUUAAUACCUCGGGGGGAUGACGGUACCGGAAGAAUAAGCACCGGCUAACUACGUGCCAGCAGCCGCGGUAAUACGUAGGGUGCAAGCGUUAAUCGGAAUUACUGGGCGUAAAGCGUGCGCAGGCGGUUUUGUAAGACGGAUGUGAAAUCCCCGGGCUUAACCUGGGAACUGCAUUCGUGACUGCAAGGCUAGAGUAUGGCAGAGGGGGGUAGAAUUCCACGUGUAGCAGUGAAAUGCGUAGAGAUGUGGAGGAAUACCGAUGGCGAAGGCAGCCCCCUGGGCCAAUACUGACGCUCAUGCACGAAAGCGUGGGGAGCAAACAGGAUUAGAUACCCGAGUAGUC
rnacentral:rRNA from 1 species